rnacentral:misc_RNA from 1 species
GUGCAGCUGAAUCAGCCACAGUAGGUAGCUCUGGUAUGGACAAAAUGUCAUCAAUAUCUUCAUUUUCAGCCAGUGCUUUUUCUAAAGCGGCCUUUGCUACUCUUGUCACACAUAUAAUCAAAAACACAGACACCAAAAACCCCAAUAUUAUCAUAGCCCAGCGAGUUUUUGAAAAUUCACCCCAUCCAUGAGUAACAUCAGAGAGAUCUUUCAAAGUUGUGCCGACAUACACAAGGGCAAAAGUUAUUGGCAUCAUUCCCAACCAUGAAGCGAGCAUGUAUUCCCAAAUUGAAACUGGUGUCACUGAUAACAGGUAGUUCAGCAUAUUAAACGGAAGCAGAGGAACGAGUCGGAGCAGCAAAACGAUCUUAAAGCCAGAUCUCCGAAUUGCAAUUGCAACUGCACGGAACUGUGGAUAGUCUUUCAACUUGGAAAUGACAAAUGACCUCCCAAUUGUUCUACCAAGAAGAAAUGCUGCCGCAGCACCAAUGGUAGCACCAAUAGAAUCAGCAACAAACCCCACAGGGAGGCCAAAUAGAUAACCACCACCUAGCGUAAGAAUUGAUGCAGGAACUGCCAAUACUGUAAGAGGAAUGUAUGCAACAGCCAGUACAAGGGGACCCCAAGGACCAAGAUCUUGCUCAAUCCAUUGCAAGAAAUCUUUCAGUAUCUUUU